UCCGGCAUGGGGUAACGGUUAACCUACUCCGCUUUCACCGGAGAGCCCCGAGUUCGACUCUCGGUGUCGGAA
rfam:Colletotrichum orbiculare MAFF 240422 contig04878, whole genome shotgun sequence.